UACGGAGGAUCCAAGCGUUAUCCGGAUUCAUUGGGUUUAAAGGGUGCGUAGGCGGAAUGAUAAGUCAGCGGUGAAAUCCCUCGGCUUAACUGAGGAACUGCCGUUGAUACUGUCAAUCUUGAGUACAUUUGAUGUGGGCAAUGUGUCAUGUAGCGGUGAAAUGCUUAGAUAUGACACAGAACACCGAUUGCGAAGGCAGCUCACAAAACUGUAACUGACGCUGAGGCACGAAAGCGUGGGUAUCAAACAGG
rnacentral:rRNA from 1 species